rnacentral:rRNA from 1 species
UGAAUCCUACGGGAGGCAGCAGUGGGGAAUAUUGCACAAUGGGGGAAACCCUGAUGCAGCGACGCCGCGUGAGUGAAGAAGUAUUUCGGUAUGUAAAGCUCUAUCAGCAGGGAAGAAAAUGACGGUACCUGACUAAGAAGCCCCGGCUAACUACGUGCCAGCAGCCGCGGUAAUACGUAGGGGGCAAGCGUUAUCCGGAUUUACUGGGUGUAAAGGGAGCGUAGACGGUGAUGCAAGUCAGAGGUGAAAGCCCG